GAUGAUUCCUGUAAGGCAAGGAUCAAAUUUAGUAGAAGUUCUUGUAUUCUUGAAAUUACAUCACAAGAUUUAUUGAAAUCAAUGUCUUCAAUGUUCUACUCAAUGUCUCAGCCUAUUUUUCUGAAGAAAACUCUUACAAUUUUUAUAGGUAGAAUAAAAAACAUCACCAAACUCAGCAAAUAACUUUCAAAGAAGAUAUCAUUAAUGAAUAAGUGAAGAGAAAAUGCUUGUAGAUAAAGUGGCUUGAUGUCCAGGAUGGGAAAACACUGGUAAAAAUUUCCCUGCUUAAAAGAGGAAAUCAUGUUCUUGAACUUGUAUUACUCAUCAAUGAAAUGCAUAGCUCUGAUAACAAAUACGAAGUAUCCUGAGCCUGCCAUCUAACACAUCCAUAGACAUGCUGUGAAAAAGGAAAGAAAAUACCCUACUUGAGACCCAAGAUUCUUUAUACUACCUUGUAACCAUUUUCCUUCUCACAAGAAGCCAAUGAAUGAAUGAUUG
rnacentral:lncRNA from 10 species